UACAGAGGGUGCAAGCGUUGUUCGGAAUCAUUGGGCGUAAAGGGCGUGUAGGCGGUUUGUUAAGUCAGACGUGAAAUCCCUCGGCUUAACCGGGGAACUGCGUCUGAUACUGGAUGGCUUGAGUUUGGGAGAGGGACGCGGAAUUCCAGGUGUAGCGGUGAAAUGCGUAGAUAUCUGGAGGAACACCGGUGGCGAAGGCGGCGUCCUGGACCAACACUGACACUGAGGAGCGAAAGCCAGGGGAGCAAACGGG
rnacentral:rRNA from 1 species